UACGUAGGGCGCAAGCGUUGUCCGGAAUUACUGGGCGUAAAGGGCUCGUAGGCGGCCAACUAAGUCGGACGUGAAAUCCCCAGGCUCAACCUGGGAACUGCGUCCGAUACUGGAUGGCUUGAAUCCGGGAGAGGGAUGCAGAAUUCCAGGUGUAGCGGUGAAAUGCGUAGAUAUCUGGAGGAAUACCGGUGGCGAAGGCGGCAUCCUGGACCGGCAUUGACGCUGAGGAGCGAAAGCCAGGGAGCAAACGGG
rnacentral:rRNA from 1 species